GCUUGGCGGCAAUAGCGCUUUGGACCCACCCCUUCCCAUCCCGAACAGGACCGUGAAACGAAGCUGCGCCGAUGAUAGUGUGCAUUACGCAUGUGAAAGUAGGUCACUGCCAGGC
rnacentral:rRNA from 1 species